rnacentral:rRNA from 1 species
AUUGAACGCUGGCGGCAUGCCUUACACAUGCAAGUCGAACGGCAGCACGGGUGCUUGCACCUGGUGGCGAGUGGCGAACGGGUGAGUAAUACAUCGGAACGUACCUUAUCGUGGGGGAUAACGCAGCGAAAGCUGUGCUAAUGCCGCAUACGCCCUGAGGGGGAAAGCGGGGGAUCGCAAGACCUCGCGCGAUUAGAGCGGCCGAUGCCUGAUUAGCUUGUUGGUGGGGGAAAAGCCCACCAAGGCGACGAUCAGUAGCUGGUCUGAGAGGACGAUAAGCCACACUGGGACUGAGACACGGCCCAGACUCCUACGGGAGGCAGCAGUGGGGAAUUUUGGACAAUGGGGGCAACCCUGAUCCAGCAAUGCCGCGUGAGUGAAGAAGGCCUUCGGGUUGUAAAGCUCUUUUGUCAGGGAAGAAACACCGGCUCUAACACAGUCUGGGAAUGACGGUACCUGAAGAAUAAGCACCGGCUAACUGCGUGCCAGCCGCCGCAGUAAAAC